ACCCACCUCGCGGCCGCCACCUCCUGUGCGUGCAUCAUCUUCGCGCACCUGCCCAGAGGGCGGGGCCGGGGGGUCUCCUGCCCCAUUAAGACUCCCUGAAGUCCAGGUGCAGCCCUGAAGGCUAGAGCAAGGUCACUACCGAGGAACAAGAUGUCCUGUGAGACGUCCCGGGAUCUCUGUGAAAACUCUGGACCUCUGGGAAGUCAAUGGGGACUGCACUGAGGGCCUACUGUGUGCCAGGGCUUUAUGUAACCCAAGUUAUUCACUCCACAAACACUGAGGGCCUGCAGAGGUGGCUGUCCAAGAAGGGAAGGAAGCUGAGGGUGAAGGAGGGAGCCUGACCCUCAGACCAGUUUCCCUGGCAGCCAGCAGAGCAUUCUGCAGCAUGCUGCCAAGCAAGAAAGUGGUCUCAGCUGUGCACUAGCUUCAGCCUGCUCCUAGGGGAGCUCUGGAGUGGGAGCUGCACUACCACGAGGAAAACACACUCUUCUGAAUGGAGCCAGAAGACAUAGAGCCCUGGUGCCAGUGAUUACAAUUUGGUGGCCACAAAGGGAGAUCCUGUUGCUCACUGAGGAUUAGCCCCCUCCCCACCGAGGGAGCAGAGGAGAGAAAUACCUAAAGGGAGACAUCAUGGUCACAUUGCUGAUGGAUUCAUCUUCAUUUGAAGCUGGCCCUACCUCUCAGCUUUUUAAUUAUGUGAGUCAAUAAAUUCCUUUUCUUGGAUAAGCCACUUUAAGUGGCAUUUUUGCUUUCACUUUCAAAUAUAAGCAUGCUAGCUCAUGUACAACACGCUGCCAAAUUGUUUUUCAAAAGAGUUGUCAACAUUUGCAAUUAGGCAGAAAUUAUUUUGAACCUAUUAGAUGAGACAGUUGACAGUUGCUUCUGAGAAUUCAGUAAUUCAGUAUAUCAGGGGUCACAAUGACUCUAGGAUGUUGACUCAUUCAGUUUGGACCUUCAAUGAGCUAUGGAAUGGGAAGUGGAGCAAUGUCUGUCACCCUCACCCCCACUACCUAAAGGACCAAGUAAAUCUUACCAGAUGGUGCUGUGAAAUUUUUUUAUGUCUGAAAACUUUAAGAGUAAUUUUUGCUAGUUUUAAAAAUAUGAAACAACUCUUGUUCAUUACAGAAAAAUAAAAAUAAAUCUAUGUUUCAACUAUCUAUUUUUGUGUAACAAACCAUUCCAAAAUUUGGCAGCAGCUUAAAAUAACAAUUUUAUUAUGCUCCCACAUUCUGUGAGUCAAGAAUUUGGAAAGGGAACGAGGGGGGUGGGCAAUGGCAUGUAUUUGUUCCACCAGGGAACUUCAGCUAAGAUGACCAAAGGCUGGGGUUGACUUGAUUGCUGGGGGCAGGAUCAUCUGGAGAUGUCCUCACUCACAUGUCUGGCAGUCAUUCAGGACCUCAGCCUGGGCCAUUGGCUGGAAUACCUACAUAUGACCUGUCCAUGUGGCCUGGGCUUGCUCAUAGCAUGACUACCUUGGACUCCUUGCAAGGAAGCUCAAGACUCCAAGGCUUGUACAUCAAAAUAACUAGCUAAAGCCUCCUGGCCUUUGAUGUCCUAGCAUUCAAAGUCACAUAGCAUCACUUUUCCAGCACUCCAGUGGACAUUUAGUCACUAAGGUCACUGCAGAUUCAGUGGGAGAAGACGGAGACCCUAUUUUUUGCUGAAAGGAGCAUCAAAGAUCAACUUGCGGGCCUAUUUUUAAAUACCCCAGGAUUCCAGCAAAAAGAGGACAAUAAGCAACAAUGCAACCCUGCCCACCCAGAGAUCAUCACAAUCAACAUCUUCAUGUAAACUUUUCUGGAUACUGCUUUGUCGUUGAUUUUUAUAAAGCUGAAAUAGUUUUAGUGGAGACUCUUUUACUUGAAAGUGAGAGAAACCCAAUUCAAACUAAUGUAAGCAAUAAA
ensembl:lncRNA PDYN-AS1 PDYN antisense RNA 1